AUCAACUUUCGAUGGUAGGAUAGAGGCCUACCAUGGUGGUAACGGGUAACGGGGUGUUAGGGCACGACACCGGAGAGGGAGCCUGAGAAACGGCUACCACAUCCAAGGAUGGCAGCAGGCGCGUAAAUUACCCAAUCCCGACACGGGGAGGUAGUGACAAUAAAUAACAAUACGGGGUCCUUUCGGGUUUCGUAAUUGGAAUGAGUACAAUUUAAAUCUCUUAACGAGGAACAAUUGGAGGGCAAGUCUGGUGCCAGCAGCCGCGGUAAUUCCAGCUCCAAUAGCGUAUAUUAAAGUUGUUGCAGUUAAAAAGCUCGUAGUUGAAUUUCGGGAUUAGUACGUUGGUCGUGCCUUCGGUACGUACUGGUGUUACUGAUUCCUACCUUCUGACGAACCAUCAUGUCAUUAAUUUGGUGUGGUGGGAAAUCAGGACUGUUACUUUGAAAAAAUUAGAGUGUUUAAAGCAGGCUCGCGCUUGAAUACAUUAGCAUGGAAUAAUGAAAUAGGACGUUGACCCUAUUUUGUUGGUUUCUAGGAUUGACGUAAUGAUUAAUAGGGAUAGUUGGGGGCAUUAGUAUUCAAUUGUCAGAGGUGAAAUUCUUGGAUUUAUUGAAGACUAACUACUGCGAAAGCAUUUGCCAAGGAUGUUUUUAUUAAUCAAGAACGAAAGUUAGGGGAUCGAAGACGAUCAGAUACCGUCGUAGUCUUAACCAUAAACUAUGCCGACUAGGGAUCGGAUGAUGUUAUUUUUAAUGACUCAUUCGGCGCCUUACGGGAAACCAAAGUGUUUGGGUUC
rnacentral:rRNA from 1 species